rnacentral:rRNA from 1 species
UACAGAGGGGGCAAGCGUUAUUCGGAAUUAUUGGGCGUAAAGGGCGCGUAGGCGGUUCGCUAAGUUGGAUGUGAAAACUCUGGGCUCAACCCAGAGCCUGCAUCCAAAACUGGCGGGCUAGAGUUCUGGAGGGGGUAGCGGAAUUCCUGGUGUAGCGGUGAAAUGCGUAGAUAUCUGGAGGAACACCGGUGGCGAAGGCGGCAUCCUGGACCGACACUGACACUGAGGAGCGAAAGCCAGGGGAGCAAACGGG